AAUAUUGGUUGGCAACCCGUACCAAGUGUGAUUUUAGUGGUAGAAUUUUCGAGGCAACCCGUACCAAGUGGGAUAUUUUUGCGUGUGGAAUAGUGAAAAUUUUAGGAUUGGCUACUUGUAAAUUUAUACAAUGUAAUUGGUAUUAUGAGCUAUGUUGGUGCUGUUGAGCCUUUUGGAUUGUCCUCUAAUUCGUAUUUAUACGAGUUUGGAGAACAAUGCAGGGAUGUGUACAUUUGGUAUAAACAGGUUACCUUAUCGAAUUCUCCUUAAAUAAUAAACUUCAUAAGGCAUAGGCACAACUCCUCACUAGCUAUUAUUCGGAGUACCUCAAAGAGGGGGUGAAUUUUUAAGAGAAAAAUUGGAAGAGAUUUGUUUAAAUGGGGAGGAGCGUAAUUUGGAUAACUUUAGGCUCAAAGCAGAGGAAAUUACCAGAAGAAGCCAAGAGUAUAAUAAGACGCAAAAGGACAGUAAACGGGUAACGAAAGUUUACGGAAAGGAAGAGAAUGUAGCGUGAAUUUUAUCAGUGCUCCCGUUAGUUGCUUGUACAAAAAUAAUAAAAUAAACUAAAAAGUACUACAGUUUCGGGCAAGUGAUCACCGCGAUUGGCUCAAAUAAAUUCCAGCCGAGAGGCCCAGUUUUCUACCACUUUUUUCCGCAAAAUCUUCAAUAAAGUGGAUAGGAACAGUUCCAAUUAUUGCGCGCGAUGGCGGAUGGACUCUUUCAUGUCUUCUUCGUACGUACAGCGUUUUUGAGGAUGCGUCUUAUCCACUUAAGUAAACGUGGUGGAUUCAUGGUUUCUCAAAUUACCAACUCUUCUAGGCGAUUAUGCCGCGCGUACCGAACAAUUAAUUUGAUCAACUCCAAAUUUGCAUGGAAGCGAUUGUCGAUAUGAAGUUGGUUAUAAAUAAGUGGAAUCGCCACAUUGAAGAGGAAACAUCACUAACUGCAAGAAUUCCAUUGUCAAGUUUGGAUCAAAUAGAACGAUUAAAUGCGGAAAUAAAUAACGACAAUUGCGAAUGUUAUGAAAUUUAUUGUCAGAUUUUAACUUUUUAAUAAUUAUCUUUCUUUUCAGGUAAAGACUAUGAAAUCACUUUUUAAACCGGAAGGGGUCAUUAAAAACCCUAAAGAUGAACUAACGCACGCUGUUCUCUAAGAAUACAAUAUUGAAGCUUAAGUGGUUUAGGAGAGAUGCACAUUAAACUUAGUAGGGACCACGCCCAUCUUUUAAAAAACUUUAAACUGCAGAUGCCUCUCCCUAAUGUGGUCCUGUGUGUCAAAUAACAGUAUUGUAUCUUAUUGUGGAGCUUAGUUAUGGCAAUUUAUUUCUUUUGAUUAAUGGCGUUUUGUGGGAGUGGCGGUGGUUCGAUUACACCCAUCUGCAAUACCAACUGUCUUACG